AAUAAAAGUGCAGUUGAUCAGCUUAUCAAACAACCAAGUGUGUUUAAAAAUCAGUUUAUCUUGGUGGAUUUCAGAGCUGUGAAAAGAUAUCCAGGGAAAUGUAACCAGUGGAUUUCCUUUUUCCAGUGCCUGAAUGAAUGACAACAUAACCGUCCUAGAAAUCGGGUGGAAGAGCUACUCACUUCAAACCUCCUAUUUUCACCCACUCAUCACUUUCUCAAAGUUUUCCUUUUGGUUGAAAUUUCUAUUGCAAUUAUAUUAUCAUUGGAGAGACACAAAUUUAAAUACAGAACUCUCUGGAGAGCAGCACUGAGUGUGUAUUCUAAAACACUAAUGAAAUUGAAGUACUAGGCAUGACCAGUACAUCAUUUUCAAUCACUUAUCAUUUUAUUUGUGAAUCAAAUUUAUUUAAAUAUGUUAAUGGCACUUGUAUCUAUUAGGAUUAAACCCAGAAUGAGUUUCUAACUAAUGGUGAGGAACACCAGGAGUUUAAAAAUCAUAUUUCUGUCUGAAAAGUUUUAACCAAUUCUUGUUACUAGCAGCACAUAAUAUUACUACAACUGACUGAGAUUAGAGAAAAAAUGCAUUGUUUUCUAUCUUUUCCAGUUAUUUUACUUUGUACGUUUGGCAGUACAUUUUGUGUAGUCAGUUUCACUGUUUCCUCUGAGUAGUUUGUCAGUUUCCCCUUUUCUUUGUAUGUGUCUUUCACAAUAAAAGCAACAGGGAGAAAAAAAUGUUUCAAAAACAGGAAAAUGCAAUUUUUAAAACAACAAAAUUUGGCAGGGAGACUAAUGAUGAGGUUUAUUACCCUGACAUUGCUUCUAACCCACUUUUUUAAAAUGAACAGUUGCCACUUAGGAGCUGCCCUUCAUUUUAGCACACAAAUGUAUCAUAAUUUUUGAGACAUUUUUUCCAUAAUCAGAUAAAUGCCCCCAAAAGCCACAGUCCCAUAAUUGAGGAAGAAGGCUGUGCUGGUUCCAAAAAAAAAAAAAAAAAAAAAAGGUU